GGGGUGAGCAGCUUGUGGAGUUCUCGUCCAUUUAUCAUUAUUUAGAUGAACUGCUCAAUCCAUCGUGAUAUUGAUUUGAGGCCAUAUCGCCCAGCCUUGAGUUUGGUAAUCCACUGGACUCGUGGCCGUCAUGAAUACUGUCAUCAAAAGCAAUCAAUGACUAAGGAAUAGUUCGUCAAGUCAAAUAAGUUUGAUUAUAAAGCUCCUUUAAAAAGACAGCAGUCAAUCAAAGUGCAGUACAAAGGAGGAAUAAAAGAAGUUAUUAAACAGAGUACAAUAAAAUACAGACAGUAAAAGAAUAAAAGCAUCAGUUCCUAUGAUUUUCGUUUGUUCAUUUAUGAAAAGGAUGAUAUUAAAGUCUCUAGGUGAGGUUCCAAUCUGGCCGAGGAGACUGUUCCAGAGUCUAGGGGUCACCUCUAGACUACAGUUUAGUUUUGGGGAUGUCCAACAGCAGCUGGUCUGAGGACCUCUUUUACCCGGACAUGUCCUCUUUUGGGGGGAUGUCUGGCUUUGUCCAGGGGGACUUUAUGAAAUCCGUCAAAUGUUUUGUGUGGAAGUUUUGAGUUUGUGUAGCAUGGAUUAACUUAAAAAAAAACACUCGACCCGACUCAAAAACCACUCAAAAAUUACAACGCGCGACCCCGCCCCACGUAGUAGUGUCCUCCUCUUAGGGAUUCAGAAUAUGGUCACCCUAGCAUACAAGUAGUUACAGUAAUCUAUUCGUGAUGUAAUAAAUGCAUGGAUUGUUUUUUCAAGAUCAGCCCUUGAAAACAAAUAUUUAGCCUUUGCGAAAAUACGGAGCUGGAAAAAUCUUGUUAUAGCGAGGAACAGUUAAAUGAAGUCGUGGUUUUAACGGUAAACUACUGUUGAGUUUUGGUCCUAGAGUUCUUCUUCUGAAAAAAUCAAUGGUAGAAUACUUUGCUGUGUUUGUGCCGCUGACUUUAGCGAGUUUAAUUCUUCUUGGACAAAGCAUUAUUCUGCUGCGCUGGCCGUCAUCUUCUCAUUCGCUGGUUCGACUCCAAAAAAAUCGUCAUUCUUUAACAACCAGUGAUACAGUAUGACCUGAUGUCAUGAACUCACAAAACGUCCAGGCUCUUUAUCUGACCUCAGCUCGCUGUAGAUACGAGCUGAGAGGUCCUCCAAGUGUGGGGAGGCAAACUUUUUGUGCUUUCGCUGUCCUUAUCAGUCUCACCAGGCCGGUCGAGAGCGAACUGUUUUCUCUUUCUGUCGUCACCUUUAUCAGUGUUUGUUUUUUUUGACAUAUUUUCUAAAGGAAGGAUGUCAAACCUUGGCCCAGAUCUCCUCGGAGACAAAGGAUCGAGAACAUGAUGUUCAGUAGCCAUUAUAGAGGAAUGGAAGUUGAAACUUGGAAGAGUGUUUGCAGACUCCAUUAGGUCCCACUUAAUGGAUUGGGUGAAGAGGCCGUUUUUAUUUACCCAUCAAACCCAAAGAGAGUGAUUUCGAGAUUUCAAACCACACAUACUGAAGUGGGCUGGAGGUUGAGUAGUGUGAGUCAACAGAGAGAUUCCUCUUCUUUCCCUCGGAGCGAUGAUUGAGCCCGACACAAACACCUGUGUGGGGAAUUUGUAGCAGGUGUGUGAAUAUUCUUCUGGGACGUCUUAUUCUCUCUCUGUGGAAAUUAUAAGAGAUUUCUAUCUCUAAGACUGCAUUUGCACGUGCCCGGCUAUUUUCAUAAAUGGUCAUUUCACCCUCCACAUUUACAAACUACAGUUUCAGAAAAGUUUUUGUUUACACUAACCUGUGUAUAUGCCUUCAAGAGCAUGCUAAACCUGUAGCAAGAAGCCCAAGCCCACGUUAGCCAAUCAGAAUCCCGCAUAGCAGCAACAACAACGACGUCACUUCCUUCUUUCUGGCGUACAAAUUGCCGUCGGCUACCCAGAUCUCUGUUUUUCUCAGUUUACAUGAUAACAGAGUUUUCCAAAAUCUCCACUUUGGCUGGAGUCUUUAAAAAGCAUCAUUUUCAGAGGCAAAUUCUCUGUUUGCAUCUAAACGAAGGGUGCAAAUGAUGGUUAAAGGGAUAUUCUGGUGUAAAAUUAAUUUUGGGUCAUACACAACGCAACACCAAGUUAGACACCCCCUUGAGAGAGGAAUGUUGCCGACCGCUUGCUUCUCUAGUUAUACCAACUUUCGCAACGGCCGCACGAUAGCAAUACACAGCGGUCUGAGGAGCCAUAAACAAACCUCAACCAAAACGCCACUCUAUAGCCACAAAUAAUGCUCAGAACAGCACCUAACUUCAUCAACAGUCCCAGACAUAGCACUAGCUGCCAAAAAUCUUUUAAACUUUGCCUGAUUUCUUUAGCAAAGAGACUAAACACAACUCACCUACUCUCUUCCAGCAGCCGCUUGUUUGUAGUGAGACCUCGGGCCAGUCUAUUACAGACUACAGCGGGGUGACGCAGCUCAAGGAAGAACAUUUAUGAUCAUUACUUCAUGGAAAUGCAAUCAGACCAAGACGCUAAGACAGAAGAACUACUGCGUCUGCAGUGUAAAAUGAUUAAUAUGAUGAUUAUUACAUCAAGGAAAUGAUUUUAAAAAAAGGUCAUAAAUGUUCUUCCUUGAGCUGUGUAACCCCGCUGUAGUCCAUAAUGGACUGGCCUGAGGUCUCACUACAAACAAGCAGCUGCUGGAAGAGAGUAGGUGAGUUGUGUUUAGUCUCUUUGCUAAAGAAAUUAGUCAAAGCUAAAAAGAUAUUUGGUGGCUAGUACUAUGUCUGUGACCCUAUAUGUCCUGUUGAUGAAGUUAGUUGCUGUUCUGAGCAUUAUUUGUGGCUAUAGAGUGGCGUUUUGGUUGAGGUUUGUUUAUGGCUCCUCAGACCUCUGUGUAUUGCUAUCGUGCGGUCGUUACUAAAGUUGUUAUAACUAGAGAAGCAAGCGGUCAGCAACAUUCAUCUCUUGAGGGGUGUCUAACUCAGUGUUACAGUAUGUUUGACCCUGAAUUAAUUUUACACCGGAAUAUCCCUUUAAUGUCUCUGUUUUUAAAGAAUAAGUGGGUACAUAUAAACAGGGCCUAAAUCUUUCCACACUUUCUUCAGUUUACCUUCCUUCGUCCUUUCCUGGCUCUCAAACUAAAAUGACUAUUACUGGUUGGUUUUUGUGCUUCACUCAAAGACGGACUUUUUGAGGAAGCUUCAGAGAUGACAUUGGCACUGCCAACAUAGCACUGGCAAGAAUAGCCAUGUGCGUCACUGAGGAGCCUCUCGUGGGAACUGCAGGUGCUACCAGCCAAUGCUUAAAAUUUUGGAACGGCGUCACCACUCGAAGGGAGGCACUUUAGCACUCGGCGUGUGUUUGCAGGCAUUAUUCUCGGACAAACAAUGCAUGGCAGCAAAUCAUGAGAUAUUAUUCAUAUCAAGCUGCAGAUUUUGUUCCCUAAAAUGUCUGAAACCAAGAGUGGGGUUCAUUAAGGUCCUUCAAGUCAAGCAUUUUCGUCAUCUUGGAUAUAAUUGGUUCUGAUUUCAGCCCGAGUGCAAGAACUCUCUCCUAAUUGGUUGCAAUCUUGUCUCGGCUUGGCUCAGCCAGUGCACUCACAGAAUAAGACAAAAAAAGACAUCAUCUGGUGAAAUGUGAAGUGUGAGACUCAAAGUUUUAAGUAGUGCUGACGGAUUUUAGAAAGAUAACAGAAACUUGUAUUUAUUUCACAUCUAAAGAAGUCAUUGAGGGAAUAUUUGAUAAGGAAAUCCAUCCUGAACAUAUAUUCCUGGAAACACUCAAAAGGAGAUUCAAAACGUUGGGAUGUCUGGGUCAACAUGUUCUGACUCUUGAAAGACAUGGAUGGGUGGAUGUUACAACACAAAGCAGUGUAUUGUGGUAAUAAUACUGAAUUGAUAAACACGCUCCUCUGGCGAUGUGGUGGGUUGGAAUUUGACUCAUGACUGAGAUUACUCACCUCCUCUCUGUUUUCUCCUCCAUUAUUCUCAAUCUUUGGUUCAUUUGAUGUAUUCCUGAUAACACGGGCGAUUAAAACAAUCAACAUCUAUAGAUUUUAAGGCGGACUACCUCAUGUCCUCACUCUAACUCAUGGUCUCUAUUGGGUCUAAAACUCUUUGACCUAUAAAUAAACGCCCCAAACCCAAUUUAACCGGGUUAUAAAUAAGAAUGGCCUUUUCGUUGUGUAAACAAGUCACAGGUUUGGUAGUUGAAAUCUUGUGAUGGCCGUGGAAGAAAACAACAGUUCUUUGUUUGUUCAGGCGUCACUGGAGGAGGAGAAACAACAGGCCACAGAAAAUUAUCUCCCCACAUGAAAAGUCGAGAAAACCAAAGUGUCCAAAUCCAGUGCUCUGAUUUUAGACACUUUAGCGUGCUGUAUAUCUAAUAUAAAUUGGACUCUAAAGACUUUAAUCCAUAUGUAAAGAUCUAAUUAUCUAUUUUUGGGAGAGUUAAUCCUUCACUUUAAUUCCAGGCCCAGAUAAAGUUUCAUUCAGCUCAUCAGUUUCUCAAUGACAUCCAUUUCUACGCUUUUUAACCCAAAUGCAAAAUAAUGGUGAUGGAGCGUCAGUGCUGCAGUGUCUCAGCGUUAAGCCAGCAGGCUCUGGGUAAACACACAUUUCUAUCUUUGCCAAAUCAACUUCAGACAGCUUGUCAGUAUCAGAGUGUAAACAGACUCUCAGUCAGUCAGCGGUGUUGGAAUCCUCAUCUAUCUGUUGACUGUCUCUCGCUGAGUCCCACACUCUCUCCUCUUUUAUGUGUCAAUCAGUGCUGGACUUCUAUCAAAUAGUAACAGCUCGGGAGCGCACAGUCGGUUUUGGUUUGAUAAUUAAACAUUGUAAAAAGUGUGUCGACGUCACAGGAGGUACAAAGUUCAGGACGGUUACUACAAGGGUAACCUGCGGUGGAGUCAAACAUUGACAUGGUCCAUUGAGAAUGGAAAAUUAUUGAAUUUACAUCAUCAGAGUUGGAAUAAAACCAUAAAAAUAGACAUUUUAAACAAAAUCUAUUAAUGCCAAAUGAUGGACUUGGACAGAGGAUGGUUUUCUGACUCCUUUAUUCGGUGUUUGUCGUAGUUAACUGUGUUUUUAGUUUCAGUUUCAUCUGCAAAGAGAGAGCACAAUUUUUAACUUCAAGUUGUUUGCAAAACCAUGUCUUGGACGUGUCCCCUGAUUGUCUACCUAGAUUGUCCUUGUGCUAUGAGGUAAACUAUGAGGUAUAUAUGAUCAUAUAUAAUCAACAUUUACUGUCAGAUAAGAAGUGGGAACAGGGAACCUCAAGGGAUCCCCAAAGUCAGACUAAAAUAUCAUGAUAUUGUCGAAUUGAUUUUCUCUUGUGUAUUCAUGCGACUGGACUUAUUCUGCUCCAAAGUUUGCUUGUCGGGCUUUGACCCUGAGGUUGAACGGCGUGUGUGCGUUAAAGAAAGCAAGGUGGUAAACAGCCAUAGAGGAGGUGUACACACACACUCUUAUAUACUCUGGUGAAUAAAGAGUCCAAAUGAGACGAAUUGGUUGACUUGCAGCAACAAAACAAGAUUUUAAAGUCUUUUCUUGUUGACCAGACUCAAGUCAGAGGAAACCUUCUCCUGGUUUGAGUUCAGACUUCCAUUUUCCCAAGUUACACAAAGUCCUCUGUCGAGAGUUUAUGAUUUAAACUUCCUCUAACAAAUCUUGGACCACCAUUCUUUGAUCCUACGUCAUUCCCUGACAAUGUUUCCCCUCAUAAUAUACCAUAACUCCUGGUACUCGCUGCUACACUGACAUCCCAAAGGCCGUUUUUUACGUCUGCAGCUUCUCUUGUGUUUAUACGCAGCAGAGCGCUGUUUGGGGUUAAACAGAAAAAAACUACUGCAUCAAUGAUGUCGCUGUAACUCUUCGGGAUCCGCCCAGACUCAAUCAUGGUUAGCUGUUUAGUUUGAAUUGAUGCAGGAUUGACAUCAUUGCGGUGUGGGAGGCCAUCUUCCCAAAGACUUAAACACACUCAAAAGCAAAUCUUGUGAAGGAAAAGUGUAAACAGAGAUUCUCGCGGUCUGUGCAGACGUGUUUGAAUAGAAGGUGUGGUUUCAUAGACAGGUACUGAAGGACGUGAACAGGCUUCUACAGCUGCUGACAAGAUGUGCCGUGAAGCACGUGUCGCUCGUUUGCAUCUUAAUGAAUUUCAGCUGAGGGUCGUGAAUAACCGUGCUUAAGGCUCGUUGGUGAAUAAAGCCGUUAUCUGAGAGAGUAUGCAGCAGCGUGGGAAAAUCAGGUGAAGGUUGACUUGGUUUUGGUGGAAAUGUCCCCUUGAGGUUUUUAAAUCUUUAUUUUCAGACAGUCACAUUUCUUUGAUUGAGUACCCUUCAGGUCGUAAAGCCCACUGAGCAAAAGACAAAAGCUAUUAGACAUCUAUUUUUUUUUUCAACUGUCUACAUUUGUAUGAAUUUAGGUGGAAUUUAGAUGUUGCACUUCAACCCAUUAUUCAAUAACUAUUUAUCUAACUAUUGCAUAACUGUAUCCAAGUACUUCACCAAAGUAAUUAUGAUAGCCGUUGAACAAUAUACAGUUAGACCUCUGUUAGAUGGCUAGUCUAAACUUGAUCUAAAUUAUGAACUUUGAUUUUUAGACCUGUGGGAGCCUGAUUUUAGACCAGUCAUCUAUGCUACAUUAAAACGUCUCUUUUAGACCAAAAAUGUUCAGUGGGAGGUGGGUCAUCAGGACUGAAGUACCUGGAAUCCCGAGAAAAGUUUAGUUGCUGUCUGAAAUGUUGAAUGAGUACCCCUCAGGUCAUAAAGCCCACUUAGCAAUAGAUGGCUAACAGACGUCUAUUUUUUUAGACCUAAUUUCAAACAUCUAGAUUCUGUAUAUUUUUAGACGUAAUUUAGACGUUGCAUUUCAACCCAUUAUUCGAUAACUAUUUAUCUAACUUUUGCGUACGUAACCAAAAUAAUUAUUAUAGCUGUAAAGCAAUAUACAGUUGGACCUCUGUUAGAUGACUAGUCUAACUUGGUCUAAAUUAAGAUGUCUGAAAAACUGAUUUUAGACCAGUCAUCUAGGCUACAUUAAAACGUCUAUUAGACCUCCUUUAGACCAAAAAUGCUCAGUGGGAGGCAGGUCUUCCAGACGUAAGUACCUGGAAUCCAGAGAAAGGUUUAGUUGCUGUCUCAAAUGUUGAUAAAAUUGAGUAAAAGUACAAAUAUUUAACAAAGAGAGUCUGUUUCUGGAGUUUUCUUAAAAUAAAGUAUUACUACAGUCUUGCCUUAAAGUUAGGGUGACCUUUCAUCCUCUUUUACCCAGACAUGUUCUCUCUUUUGGGGGGCUGUCCGGCCUCGUUUGGGAAGGUUUAUAAAAUCCUUCAAAUGUUCAGGGUUUUGUUUGGAAGUUUUGAGUUUGUGUCACGUGAAAUUACUGAGUUAGACACUCAUAAAAACACUCGAUCCACCUGGAAAACUUUCAAAAUUAACUACACGUGACUCCACGACUCUGCGAGAUUCAGAGUAUGGUCGCCCUACUGAUAGGAUAUUUAUUUAAGAUGUUGUUUUGCACUUUUUUAAAGUACUUAUAAGUCUUAGAUGAUGUGCAAACCAUCAAAUCCAGUUUGAUCAACUUUGAUAGGUUUGUAUAAAUGAGAAAAAGAGUCCUGGAGGAGGUGCACUCACUCUGGUUUAUUUUUAACCUUCUCGUCCCUCAGCUCUCUCCUUCUCAAACUCUCUCUUAUUCUUUGAAUUCCUCCUUCCCUCCUCCCCUCCUUCCUCCCUGCAGACUCCAGCGACCAUAAACAGUUGGAAGUUUACUACAAACAUGUCAAACAACCCCCCCCCCCCCCCCCUUCCAACAAGGACGACCCCUCCCUCUCCUCGUGGGUAACAAUGAACAGGAAGAGCACUCCUUGGUUUUGCAGAGACUCCAGGAUCAUGCGUGUCCUUUGGUGCUGCCAAGGUGGCGGCCAUAAACCUGAUUUGACAUUGUGACUAAACAGAGACGCUCAUAUUUGUCCUAAACUGUCUUUUUUAAAGUUCUUAUAUUUCACAGUCCUGGUUUCAUGGUGCUGAGUUUGCACGGGAAAACCUGCUAACUCAAUCACACCUAGCUCUGAGUGGGAAUUGGGUGUGAAAUGGGAUUUUUUUGCUUCUUUUUUUCCAAGGUGAUUAGCACGUAUUAAUCCCUUUGUCCUUGUGUUGGAGCUAUAGGCAGUCUGCCAAGGGUUUCUCGCAACCAUAACUUGAUUAAAGGCUGAAGAAAACAACGGUUUCACAUCGUCCGGUUAUGAUUUUGAGUCUUUCACAGGUCACCUCGACCCCCUACACAGAGAAACCUCAUCAGUGUCCUCCCUUUGCAUUCCACUUGUUAUCUCUCCUCUUUCUUUCUUUUUUUUUCACCUUCAGGAAAAGUCAUCCACUUUCAGGUUACCUUCCCACUGUCGUUAUUUAAAUGUCUCUCUCUGCUCUG